rnacentral:rRNA from 1 species
AUUGAACGCUGGCGGCAGGCCUAACACAUGCAAGUCGAGCGAGCGGCGGACGGGUGAGUAAUGUCUGGGAAACUGCCUGAUGGAGGGGGAUAACUACUGGAAACGGUAGCUAAUACCGCAUACCAUGAGCUGUGCCCAGAUGGGAGUAGCUAGUGGGUGGGGUAACGGCUAACCUAGGCGACGAUACCUAGCUGGUCUGAGAGGAUGACCAGCCACACUGGAACUGAGACACGGCCCAGACUCCUACGGGAGGCAGCAGUGGGGAAUAUGGCACAAUGGGCGCAAGCCUGAUGCAGCCAUGCCGCGUGUAUGAAGAAGGCCUUCGGGUUGUAAAGUACUGUCAUCGGGGAGGCGGUACCCGCAGAAGAAGCACCGGCUAACUCCGUGCCAGCAGCCGCGGUAAUAC